UACGUAGGGGGCAAGCGUUGUCCGGAUUUAUUGGGCGUAAAGAGCUCGUAGGCGGUUUGUCACGUCUGCUGUGAAAACUCGGGGCUUAACUCCGGGCCUGCAGUGGGUACGGGCAGACUAGAGUGCGGUAGGGGAGACUGGAAUUCCUGGUGUAGCGGUGAAAUGCGCAGAUAUCAGGAGGAACACCGGUGGCGAAGGCGGGUCUCUGGGCCGUAACUGACGCUGAGGAGCGAAAGCGUGGGGAGCAAACAGG
rnacentral:rRNA from 1 species